GUGUUUUGGCAGCACAUAUACUAAAAUUGUGAUGAUACAGAGAAGAUUAGCAUGCCCCUGCACA
ensembl:snRNA U6 U6 spliceosomal RNA